UAGGGAAUCUUCCAUAAUGGGCGCAAGCCUGAUGGAGCAACGCCGCGUGAGUGAAGAAGGUCUUCGGAUCGUAAAACUCUGUUGUUAGAGAAGAACAUGCGGGAGAGUAACUGUUCUUGUAUUGACGGUAUCUAACCAGAAAGCCACGGCUAACUACGUGCUAG
rnacentral:rRNA from 1 species